AUGAACGCUGGCGGCGUGCCUAACACAUGCAAGUCGAACGAAGCUUGACGGAUGAUUUCUUCGGAAUGAAACCAGAUAUGACUUAGUGGCGGACGGGUGAGUAACACGUGAGCAACCUGCCUUUCAGAGGGGGAUAACGGCUGGAAACGGUCGCUAAUACCGCAUGAUGUGUUCGGAUGGCAUCAUCUGAACAUCAAAGAUUUAUCGCUGAAAGAUGGGCUCGCGUCUGAUUAGAUAGUUGGUGGGGUAACGGCCUACCAAGUCUACGAUCAGUAGCCGGACUGAGAGGUUGAACGGCCACAUUGGGACUGAGAUACGGCCCAGACUCCUACGGGAGGCAGCAGUGGGGAAUAUUGCACAAUGGGGGAAACCCUGAUGCAGCAACGCCGCGUGAAGGAUGACGGUUUUCGGAUUGUAAACUUCUUUUCUUAGUGACGAAGACAGUGACGGUAGCUAAGGAAUAAGCAUCGGCUAACUACGUGCCAGCAGCCGCGGUAAUACGUAGGAUGCAAGCGUUAUCCGGAUUUACUGGGUGUAAAGGGAGCGCAGGCGGGACUGCAAGUUGGAUGUGAAAUACCGUGGCUUAACCACGGAACUGCAUCCAAAACUGUAGUUCUUGAGUGAAGUAGAGGCAAGCGGAAUUCCGAGUGUAGCGGUGAAAUGCGUAGAUAUUCGGAGGAACACCAGUGGCGAAGGCGGCUUGCUGGGCUUUAACUGACGCUGAGGCUCGAAAGUGUGGGGAGCAAACAGGAUUAGAUACCCUGGUAGUCCACACUGUAAACGAUGAUAGCUAGGUGUGGGGGGUCUGACCCCUUCCGUGCCGGAGUUAACGCAAUAAGCUAUCCACCUGGGGAGUACGACCGCAAGGUUGAAACUCAAAGGAAUUGACGGGGGCCCGCACAAGCAGUGGAUUAUGUGGUUUAAUUCGAAGCAACGCGAAGAACCUUACCAGGUCUUGACAUCCUGAUGACGGUUCCUUAACCGGAACUUUUCUUCGGAACAUCAGAGACAGGUGGUGCAUGGUUGUCGUCAGCUCGUGUCGUGAGAUGUUGGGUUAAGUCCCGCAACGAGCGCAACCCCUGCCAUUAGUUGCUACGCAAGAGCACUCUAAUGGGACCGCUACCGACAAGGUGGAGGAAGGUGGGGACGACGUCAAAUCAUCAUGCCCCUUAUGACCUGGGCUACACACGUAAUACAAUGGCCGUUAACAGAGGGAAGCAAAGCGGUGACGCAGAGCAAAACCCUAAAAACGGUCCCAGUUCGGACUGUAGGCUGCAACCCGCCUACACGAAGUUGGAAUUGCUAGUAAUCGCGGAUCAGCAUGCCGCGGUGAAUACGUUCCCGGGCCUUGUACACACCGCCCGUCACACCAUGGGAGUUUGUAACACCCGAAGUCAGUGACCCAACCGCAAGGAGGGAGCUGCCGAAGGUGGGAUAAGCGACUGGGGUG
rnacentral:rRNA from 1 species